ACCUUUUUUUGCCAACUAUAGUUAUCAUCUACAAAUUAAUACUUUUGACUUUUCAAAAGUUGAUAAUCUUGAGGUAGAAGAUUUGGAAAAUUAUUUGUCAAAGCUACAUGCAACAAUGAAGGCAUAGUUAAAGAGAGCUAAAGAACAACAAAAAAGUAAUAUAGAUGCCUAUCUGUGAUUGUUAUUUUACUUAUUCUACAAUUCCUUCCAGAAUAAACAUGUAUAGGGAAAUUCGAACACAGGGAAAGACUAAGCGCAUGAGUUUCACUUGUUAGGGUCACACAAUUAAUUGUAUUCUAAACUACUUAAAUAUUAAGAAAUACUAUAAUGCUUCCUCCCAGUAACAAUACUCCUUCAUCAACUCAUAACUAUAAUGUACAACCCUGCACUCUCAAAAGAUCGCUCAAAAUUCAAUAAAUUCCAUCCAACACCAAGAAUAAUAGACUUCAUUCUAAUCAAUCUGAAUUCACAAAAUUCUUGUAAUCAUAGACUUCCUCUGUUGAAACACACACACAACUCUCAAUAAAUAAUAAUCAUAAUCUUCCAUUUAUAAUCAAUCUUCCAAUAACUUCUCAUAUAAUUCAAUCACUCAAUACUUCAAUUAUAUAAUCAAUAAGUCAUAAAUCAAUCUCUGAUUUAUUCCACAGACUCACUUCUCAGUAUUCAAAAACUAUCCAUUACUCUUCA
rnacentral:lncRNA from 1 species